rnacentral:rRNA from 1 species
UACGGAGGGUGCAAGCGUUAUCCGGAUUCACUGGGUUUAAAGGGUGCGUAGGUGGGCAAGUAAGUCAGUGGUGAAAUCUCCGGGCUUAACCCGGAAACUGCCAUUGAUACUAUUUGUCUUGAAUACUGUGGAGGUCAGCGGAAUAUGUCAUGUAGCGGUGAAAUGCUUAGAUAUGACAUAGAACACCAAUUGCGAAGGCAGCUGGCUACACAAAUAUUGACACUGAGACACGAAAGCGUGGGGAUCAAACAGG